UAGGGUUUGAUCAUGGCUCAGGAUGAACGCUGGCGGUAUGCUUAACACAUGCAAGUCGUACGAAGAUAAAAUUGUGCUUACACGAUUUUAUACUUAGUGGCGGACGGGUGAGUAACACGUAAGAAUCUACCUUUUGGCGAGGGACAACCACUGGAAACGGUGGCUAAUACCUCAUAUAACUGAGAAGUGAAAGAUGAAAAUCACCAAGAGAUGAGCUUGCGUCUGAUUAGCUAGUUGGUAAGGUAAAGGCUUACCAAGGCGACGAUCAGUAGCUGGUCUGAGAGGAUGAUCAGCCACACUGGGACUGAGACACGGCCCAGACUCCUACGGGAGGCAGCAGUGAGGAAUUUUCCGCAAUGGGCGAAAGCCUGACGGAGCAAUACCGCGUGAAGGAUUAAGGCCUAUGGGUUGUAAACUUCUUUUCUCAGAGAAGAAUUUUGACGGUAUCUGAGGAAUAAGCAUCGGCUAACUCUGUGCCAGCAGCCGCGGUAAUACA
rnacentral:rRNA from 1 species